UGAAACAUGCAGCAAAGUACAAAGUCAAAAAAAAAAAAGGGGAGGGGAAGUCAAAUAUUUUACAUCUUCCAUAAUCUAGCAUACGUCAUAAGGAGGAACCUCCAUUUAUUGAUACACCAUUAUUCUGUUCUCCAGAUUAUUAAGAGUGUCAGCUGGCUCUAGGAUUUGGUUCACAACUUAAGCAAAAUAUCCCAAACAAAUCCAUGAAUCAUUUAGAAAGACCGUAACGUUUUACAAAUAGCAUUGGCACAUGUUACCUCGUGC
rnacentral:lncRNA from 1 species